rnacentral:rRNA from 1 species
UACGGAGGAGGCAAGCGUUAUCCGGAAUUAUUGGGCGUAAAGCGUCCGCAGGUGGCGAUUCAAGUCUGCGGUCAAAGACUGGGGCUUAACCCUGGAAAGGCCGUGGAAGCUGAAAAGCUAGAGUGCAGUAGGGGUAGAGGGAAUUCCCGGUGUAGCGGUGAAAUGCGUAGAGCUCGGGAAGAACAUCGGUGGCGAAAGCGCUCUGCUGGACUGCAACUGACACUCAGGGACGAAAGCUAGGGGAGCGAAUGGG